GUGUAUGACCAACUGAACCACAUCCUCAUCUCCGAUGACCAACUCCCUGAGAAUAUCAUUCUCGUCAACACCUCUGACUGGCAGGGACAGGUAAGGGACAGCCAUGUGCCCUGCCCUCUCCUGGGCAAUGGGACGUUUCUGUGGCCUGUGGAACAGCAGUCUGUGCUGGGGGAGGGGGUUUGGGGGUGGUGAUCAGCACUGCCUGGAUAUCUGGGGACUACCAGGUGCCGUGCCAAGGUCACCGUCCCUUUCUAGUUCCUCUCAGAUGUGCUGCAGAAGCACACGCUUCCUGUGGUGUGCACGUGCUCUGCUGCUGAUGUGCAGGCUGCCUUCAGCACCAUUGUGUCCCGGAUACAGCGAUAGUGAGUCUGCCGCUCCUUCCUCACCCGGGGCCCUGUCCACCCUUGGCACCCCUGCCCGAGGAUUUCC
rnacentral:lncRNA from 1 species